CCCAACUUCCGAAUGUUGACCUCGAAUCAGGUAGGAAUACCCGCUGAACUUAAGCAUAUCAAUAAGCGGAGGAAAAGAAACCAACAGGGAUUGCCCCAGUAACGGCGAGUGAAGCGGCAACAGCUCAAAUUUGAAAUCUGGUCCCCAGGGCCCGAGUUGUAAUUUGUAGAGGAUGCUUUUGGCGAGGCGCCUUCCGAGUUCCCUGGAACGGGACGCCACAGAGGGUGAGAGCCCCGUCUGGUCGGAUGCCAAGCCUAUGUAAAGCUCCUUCGACGAGUCGAGUAGUUUGGGAAUGCUGCUCAAAAUGGGAGGUAUAUGUCUUCUAAAGCUAAAUAUUGGCCAGAGACCGAUAGCGCACAAGUAGAGUGAUCGAAAGAUGAAAAGCACUUUGAAAAGAGGGUUAAAAAGUACGUGAAAUUGUUGAAAGGGAAGCGCCUAUGACCAGACUUGGGCCCGGUGAAUCAUCCAGCGUUCUCGCUGGUGCACUUUGCCGGGCACAGGCCUAGCAUCAGUUUGGCGCGGGGGAUAAAGGUUUCGGGAACGUGGCUCCCCCGGGAGUGUUAUAGCCCGUUGCGUAA
rnacentral:sRNA from 1 species